AUCACCUUUCAGCUUUUUGCUAAGGUCCAGUGUAGCAUCUGUUCCUACAGGUUUAAUAUCUGAUACAUCUUCUAUCCCAGACAAUACAUUAAAUAUAUUAAAUAUAUUUUCGGAAAUAGGAGAUAGAAUAGGUGCUUGCUCCAUCCACUCCAUGCAUUGAGUGGACACUGCAGUAACUCCAAAAACAGUGCACACACA
ensembl:snRNA U2 U2 spliceosomal RNA